rnacentral:rRNA from 1 species
AGAGUUUGAUCAUGGCUCAGGAUGAACGCUAGCGGCAGGCUUAAUACAUGCAAGUCGAACGGGAUUUAGGGUAGCAAUACUUUAAUGAGAGUGGCGCACGGGUGAGUAACACGUAUGCAACCUACCUUUAACAGGAGGAUAGCCCCGGGAAAUCGGGAUUAAUACUUCAUAAGAUUGUGGAAUGGCAUCAUUCAGCAAUUAAAGCUCCGGCGGUUAAAGAUGAGCAUGCGGGACAUUAGCUUGUUGGUGAGGUAACGGCUCACCAAGGCUGAGAUGUCUAGGGGUCCUGAGAGGGUUAUCCCCCACACUGGUACUGAGACACGGACCAGACUCCUACGGGAGGCAGCAGUAAGGAAUAUUGGUCAAUGGGCGCAAGCCUGAACCAGCCAUGCCGCGUGCAGGAAGACGGCCCUAUGGGUUGUAAACUGCUUUUGUCAGGGAAUAAACCCCCGUACGUGUACGGGGCUGAAGGUACCUGAAGAAUAAGCAUCGGCUAACUCCGUGCCAGCAGCCGCGGUAAUACGGAGGAUGCAAGCGUUAUCCGGAUUCAUUGGGUUUAAAGGGUGCGCAGGCGGAUUGGUAAGUCAGGGGUGAAAUCCCACAGCUCAACUGUGGAACUGCCCUUGAUACUGUCAGUCUUGAGUAUAGUUGAAGUGGGCGGAAUGUGUCAUGUAGCGGUGAAAUGCUUAGAUAUGACACAGAACACCGAUCGCGAAGGCAGCUCGCUAAGCUAUAACUGACGCUCAUGCACGAAAGCGUGGGGAUCAAACAGGAUUAGAUACCCUGGUAGUCCACGCCGUAAACGAUGAUUACUCGAUGUUGGCGAUACACAGUCAGCGUCUAAGCGAAAGCAAUAAGUAAUCCACCUGGGGAGUACGAUCGCAAGAUUGAAACUCAAAAGGAAUUUGACA